rnacentral:rRNA from 1 species
AGAGCGAACGCUGGCGGCAGGCUUAACACAUGCAAGUCGAGCGGGCGUAGCAAUACGUCAGCGGCAGACGGGUGAGUAACGCGUGGGAACAUACCUUUUGGUUCGGAACAACACAGGGAAACUUGUGCUAAUACCGGAUAAGCCCUUACGGGGAAAGAUUUAUCGCCGAAAGAUUGGCCCGCGUCUGAUUAGCUAGUUGGUGAGGUAAUGGCUCACCAAGGCGACGAUCAGUAGCUGGUCUGAGAGGAUGAUCAGCCACAUUGGGACUGAGACACGGCCCAAACUCCUACGGGAGGCAGCAGUGGGGAAUAUUGGACAAUGGGGGCAACCCUGAUCCAGCCAUGCCGCGUGAGUGAUGAAGGCCCUAGGGUUGUAAAGCUCUUUGUGCGGGAAGAUAAUGACGGUACCGCAAGAAUAACGCCCGGCUAACUUCGCGCCAGCAGCCGC